rnacentral:rRNA from 1 species
GACGAACGCUGGCGGCGUGCCUAACACAUGCAAGUCGAGCGAGUGGAGUUCUUUGGAACAAAGCUAGCGGCGGACGGGUGAGUAACACGUGGGCAACCUGCCUCAUAGAGGGGAAUAGCCUCCCGAAAGGGAGAUUAAUACCGCAUAAGAUUGUAGCUUCGCAUGAAGUAGCAAUUAAAGGAGCAAUCCGCUAUGAGAUGGGCCCGCGGCGCAUUAGCUAGUUGGUGAGGUAACGGCUCACCAAGGCGACGAUCAGUAGCCGGACUGAGAGGUUGAACGGCCACAUUGGGACUGAGACACGGCCCAG